ensembl:misc_RNA Metazoa_SRP Metazoan signal recognition particle RNA
GCCGGGCGUGGUGGCUCAUGCCUGUAAUCCCAGCACUUUGGGAGGCUGAGGCAGGAGGAUCGCUUGAGCCCAGGAGUUUGAGACCAGCCUGGACAACAUAGCGAGACCUUGUCUCUA